rnacentral:rRNA from 1 species
AUUGAACGCUGGCGGCAGGCCUAACACAUGCAAGUCGAACGAGUGGCGGACGGGUGAGUAAUGUCUGGGACCCUGCCUGAUGGAGGGGGAUAACUACUGGAAACGGUAGCUAAUACCGCAUACCAUCAGAUGUGCCCAGAUGGGAUUAGCUAGUUUGUGGGGUAACGGCUCACCAAGGCGACGAUCCCUAGCUGGUCUGAGAGGAUGACCAGCCACACUGGAACGGAGACACGGUCCCGACUACUACGGGAGGCAGCAGUGGGGAGUAUAGCACAAGGGACGCAGGCCUGAUGCAGCCAUGCCGAGUGGAUGAAGAAGUGCUUCGGGUUGUAAAGUACUUCCAGCGGGGAGGCGUUACCCGAAGAAGAAGCACCGGCUAACUCCGUGCCAGCAGCCGCGGUAAUUC